CGCACCAAUUCUCGCGAUGUUGGUGACCAGGAAGACGCCUGCAGAGCCCGGCUGCUGGUGCAGCAGCGGCUGAGGCGGCAGGUGCUACUGCACUCGGACCUCCUGCCUCCGAGCCUACGCUUGAUCUCUGGGUGGGGAGGCGGGACGUGGUCAGGCCAGGGCUGUGGAGGUGCGCUGUGUCCACUGAGACUUAGGAGGGAUUCAGGCUGCGGCCUGUCAGAGCCAGUCAGGGAGGCGCCCACACUCCUGACAGGAUAAGAUGGCGGCGAUGGCGCCUGGAGGUAGUGGCAGUGGUGGCGGCGGCGUGAAUCCAUUCCUCAGCGAUUCAGACGAGGACGAUGACGAGGUAGCGGCGACAGAGGAGCGCCGGGCAGUACUUCGUCUGGGUGCCGGGGGUGGCCUAGAUCCUGGCUCUGCAGGCUCGCUAUCGCCACAGGAUCCCGUGGCCUUAGGAAGCAGUGCGCGGCCAGGGCUCCCUGGGGAGGCGUCGGCUGGUGCGGUGGCCCUGGGGAGCACCGGGGAGACCCCGGCCCGAUUGUCAAUUGAUGCGAUCGCGGCUCAGCUGUUGCGCGAUCAAUACUUGCUGACCGCCUUGGAGCUGCACACCGAGCUAUUAGAGAGCGGCCGCGAGUUGCCUCGGCUGCGCGACUACUUCUCCAAUCCAGGCAACUUCGAGAGGCAGAGUGGGACCCCGCCUGGGAUCGGGGCACCAGGGGUCCCUGGAACAGCCGGCAUUGGAGGCGUUGGAGGUCGGGAACCGAGUACAGCGUCGGGCGGGGGACAGCUCAAUCGAGCUGGGAGCAUCAGUACCCUUGAUUCUUUAGACUUUGCAAGAUAUUCAGAUGAUGGUAACAGGGAAGCAGAUGAGAGAGUAGCAGUCCUGGAAUUUGAACUACGGAAAGCCAAGGAGACCAUUCAGGCCCUCCGAGCCAACCUGACAAAGGCUGCAGAACAUGAAGUUCCUUUACAGGAACGAAAAAAUUACAAAUCAAGUCCUGAAAUUCAGGAACCAAUCAAACCUCUUGAAAAGAGAGCUCUAAACUUCUUAGUCAAUGAAUUUUUAUUGAAGAAUAACUACAAGCUUACAUCAAUAACUUUUUCAGACGAAAAUGACGAUCAGGAUUUUGAAUUAUGGGAUGAUGUAGGAUUAAACAUUCCAAAACCUCCAGACUUACUGCAACUCUACCGUGAUUUUGGAAAUCAUCAAGUGACUGGAAAAGAUCUUGUGGACGUGGCCAGUGGGGUGGAAGAAGAUGAAUUAGAGGCCCUUACACCAAUUUUAGGCAACCUUCCUCCACCCCUUGAAACUCCCCAGCCUGUAGAGAACUCCAUGUUAGUACAGAAAUUAGAAGAUAAAAUUAGUUUAUUAAAUAGUGAAAAAUGGUCAUUAAUGGAGCAAAUCAGAAGACUUGAAAGUGAAAUGGACUUGCUCAAAAAUGAACACUUUGCCAUCCCAGAAGUUUGUGAUUCUGUUCAACCUUCUUUGGAUCAGUCUCUCCACAAAGAUUCAGAAGACAGUGGACAAGGUCCAGUUGUAAAUAGUUCAGACAAGGGAAAAAGCAAGGAUAUCCAUCUUUCAGCAUCAGAUGAAACUGACUCCACUAUUCCUAAAGAGAAUUCCCCAAAAUCUUUGCCCAGAAGAGAAAGAGAGGGAAUGCCAUCUUCUUCUCUAUCAAGUAAAAACACAGUUCAUUUUGACAAACCCAAUAGGAAAUUGUCUCCUGCCUUCCACCAAGCGUUACUCUCUUUUUGUCGAAUGUCAGCAGAUAGUCGUUUAGGAUCAGAGGUGUCUCGGAUUGCAGACAGUGAAAAAAGCGUUAUGUUAAUGCUGGGACGCUGCCUGCCACAUAUUGUUCCUAAUGUGCUAUUGGCAAAGAGAGAGGAGUUGAUCCCCCUCAUAUUGUGUACAGCAUGCCUACAUCCUGAGCCUAAAGAGAGAGAUCAGCUUCUUCACAUACUUUUCAAUUUGAUCAAAAGGCCAGAUGAUGAACAAAGACAAAUGAUACUGACGGGUUGUGUGGCAUUUGCACGUCAUGUUGGACCAACACGUGUAGAAGCUGAACUUUUACCACAGUGUUGGGAACAGAUUAAUCACAAAUACCCAGAAAGACGACUACUUGUGGCAGAAUCCUGUGGAGCCUUGGCACCUUACCUUCCUAAAGAAAUCCGUAGCUCCUUGGUUCUUUCAAUGUUGCAACAAAUGUUAAUGGAAGAUAAGGCAGAUUUGGUAAGAGAAGCUGUGAUAAAAAGCCUUGGUAUCAUUAUGGGAUACAUUGAUGAUCCAGACAAGUACCAACAGGGUUUUGAAUUAUUGCUGUCAGCCUUGGGUGAUCCCUCAGAAAGAGUAGUUAGUGCUACACACCAAGUAUUUUUACCAGCUUAUGCUGCCUGGACUACAGAACUUGGAAAUUUACAGUCUCAUCUUAUACCUACACUGCUGAACAAGAUUGAAAAACUUCUCAGGGAAGGAGAACAUGGGCUGGAUGAACACAAGCUCCACAUGUAUCUUUCUGCCUUACAAUCAUUGAUCCCAUCUCUCUUUGCAUUAGUGCUGCAGAAUGCGCCUUUCUCCAGCAAAGCCAAGCUUCAUGGUGAAGUGCCACAGAUAGAAGUAACUAGGUUUCCUCGGCCUAUGUCACCUCUUCAAGAUGUGUCUACUAUUAUUGGAAGUCGUGAGCAAUUGGCAGUGCUACUGCAACUUUAUGAUUACCAGCUGGAACAUGAGGGUACAACAGGCUGGGAGAGUUUACUAUGGGUUGUCAAUCAAUUGUUGCCACAACUUAUAGAAAUAGUUGGCAAAAUUAAUGUUACUUCAUCUGCCUGUGUCCAUGAAUUCUCCAGAUUUUUCUGGCGCCUUUGCCGGACAUUUGGCAAAAUUUUUACAAACACUAAGGUAAAACCUCAGUUCCAGGAGAUUUUAAGACUGUCUGAAGAAAACAUUGAUUCCUCAGCAGGAAAUGGGGUCCUCACUAAAGCUACAGUUCCCAUUUAUGCAACAGGAGUCCUUACAUGUUAUAUUCAGGAAGAAGACCGAAAACUGCUAGUUGGAUUUUUAGAAGAUGUAAUGACCCUGCUUUCAUUAUCUCAUGCUCCUCUUGAUAGCCUGAAGGCUUCUUUUGUGGAACUAGGUGCAAAUCCAGCAUACCAUGAGUUACUAUUAACGGUUUUAUGGUAUGGUGUUGUCCAUACUUCAGCACUUGUGAGGUGUACUGCUGCUAGAAUGUUUGAGCUGUUGGUGAAGGGGGUGAAUGAAACUCUGGUAGCUCAGAGAGUUGUUCCUGCUCUCAUUACUCUCUCCAGUGACCCUGAAAUCUGACUCUUCGAGGCAUGAGUGAAGCGUUAGUUGACAAGCGGGUUGCUCCGGCCCUUGUUACCUUGUCCAGUGAUCCUGAAUUCUCUGUCAGGAUUGCCACAAUUCCAGCCUUUGGCACUAUCAUGGAAACAGUAAUUCAAAGAGAGUUGCUGGAAAGAGUGAAAAUGCAGUUGGCUUCUUUCCUGGAAGAUCCUCAGUAUCAAGACCAACAUUCUUUGCAUACAGAGAUCAUAAAAACAUUUGGUAGAGUUGGGCCUAAUGCAGAACCCAGGUUCCGAGAUGAGUUUGUUAUACCACAUUUGCAUAAAUUAGCUUUGGUGAACAACUUACAAAUUGUGGAUUCUAAAAGACUGGAUAUUGCUACCCAUCUUUUUGAAGCCUACAGUGCACUUUCCUGUUGUUUCAUUUCAGAGGAUUUAAUGGUUAAUCACUUUUUACCUGGUCUCAGAUGUUUACGGACUGACAUGGAACAUCUCUCUCCAGAGCAUGAGGUUAUUUUAAGUUCCAUGAUAAAAGAAUGUGAACAAAAAGUAGAAAACAAGACUGUCCAAGAGCCUCAAGGCUCAAUGUCAAUUGCUGCAAGCUUAGUGAGUGAAGAUACAAAGACCAAGUUUUUGAACAAAAUGGGCCAGUUGACAACAUCAGGUGCCAUGUUGGCCAAUGUGUUUCAGAGAAAGAAGUAGAAGCUGGAAGGAAGCCCCCAGUAAACACUAAGAUGGACCUCAAGCAGACUGGUUCCUUGUACUUGAAGUACUUGCCUUUUUUAUUUCCCCAGUUUUAUGUUGUUGCAUUAUAAUUUUAUCCUAAUCUCCAAAGAUAUUUGCACUGCUUUUGAUUAUUGCUGUAUAUCUGUUGAUUUUGGAGUUAACAACUGUGGCGAUAGAAAAUUGAGUUGAUAGUCUGUACCAAGUCCCUCAUCUAUGUUCUUGUGUUUCAGAAUAAUUUUAUAUAUAUAUAUAUAUAUAUAUAUAGUGAAGAAGUUUUUUUUUAAUUUUUGGAUGGGAUAUUAGCAAAUAUCUGUAUUAUACACUAAGCUAUUACAAUGGUACUUAAAAUAAUGUAAAUUUGAAGUCAUUGUUAUAAAGUAAUAAAAGUGGAGAUUACUUAAGUAUUUAAAUUAUGAAAGAAUAAUGCAGACUUUUUAUUGUUUCUUAACUGACUAGAAAGAGCCACCAGCAUUACUCUGUGCCUUUAGGACUUCAGUUUGUGUAUUCUGUAGGAAUUGUGUACAUUCCAUUCACACAGUAUUUCUUUAGGAUGCUGUGAUGAAUUUGUUACAGAUCCUACAGUAAAUAGCUAAUGAUGAAACUUCAACAUUUCAGAGCUCUCAUGAAAUCCUUUAAGUGCUAUUUAAACCUCCCCAGCACUUGCAUGCCUAUAAUGGACUUAUCUAAAGAAAGAUAGCACAUAAGCAUGGGGAGUGGUAACCAAGGUGAAAUUUACAAACUGGUGUGUAGUAGAUUUAAAUGCUGAAAAAUAAAUGUAACUGAGAAGAGCUAAUAAUUGUGAAAUUAUUCCCAAAUUGAAAUACAGAAGAAGAUAUAGUUUAAAUCUGAAAUUUAACACUUACUAUGUAAAACAUUUUAUUUAAGAUAUUCUCUAAUGGUUUUAAUUUUAGAGAUUUUUCAUUCUGUGUGUCACAGAGAAGUACUGAAAAGUUAAGGACAUUUGGGGGCUGCUUUUUUCCCUCUAAACUAAAAAUGACACUCGCUAAAUUAUUACUGGUUAAUUACCACCUUAUCCCUUAAAGUCGGUGACUAUUCUCGUGUUUGAUAUGUAUAUUAUUAUACAUACAGUCUUAAGUCAGUGUACAGUUCCACUGGAAUUUGACAGUUCUAUACAGUAUCUAUACAGUCAUGCAAAUUGAAGUAGAAAAGAGUGCUGGGCAUAGAAAGGGGGUGAUUGGUUUGGGGGGUUAAUGUGAGGCCUUUUUAAAAAAAAUGAAUAUUUUGAUAAAGAGAAUUCUCAUUUGAGCACAGUUGAUACACAUAGGUGAUUCUCAUAUUUGUUGUAUAAACUGGUUUAAUACACUUGAAACAUAGUUGGAUCACAUUGACUUCCUGGGAAAGCUAGCUUACCACACAUUCAAGCUUAUAAAAUAAUUUACCACAGGCAAAGCCAUUUAAAAAGUUCAUUCUGAAAUUAUUUCAUUUACCUACAGUGAAAUAAUUGUUGACUAGUCUUUCUGAAAACUGUUGGAUUCUAGGCAUUCCUGAGAAAUUGAAAGUGGCUACCUUUCAUGUCAAAAAAUGUUGAUCUAUUAUAAAUAAAAUGUUUUUGCAUA